rnacentral:rRNA from 1 species
CCUACGGGAGGCAGCAGUGGGGAAUAUUGGACAAUGGGCGAAAGCCUGAUCCAGCCAUGCCGCGUGUGUGAAGAAGGCCUUCGGGUUGUAAAGCACUUUCAGUGGGGAAGAAAGCCUUGGGGCUAAUACCCUCGAGGCAUGACAUCACCCACAGAAGAAGCACCGGCUAACUCCGUGCCAGCAGCCGCGGUGAAUACGGAGGGUGCGAGCGUUAAUCGGAAUUACUGGGCGUAAAGCGCGCGUAGGCGGUCUGAUAAGCCGGUUGUGAAAGCCCCGGGCUCAACCUGGGAACGGCAUUCGGAACUGUAAAGCUAGAGUGCAGGAGAGGAAGGUAGAAUUCCCGGUGUAGCGGUGAAAUGCGUAGAGAUAGGGAGGAAUACCAGUGGCGAAGGCGGCCUUCUGGACUGACACUGACGCUGAGGUGCGAAAGCGUGGGUAGCAAACAGGAUUAGAUACCCCAGUAGUC